UUUGGGACGGAUGGGUCGAAACAAAUAGGUACUCAACUACCUCAGGACGUCGUUUCAUAAGACUUAUAGCAGCCUGGUGGAUCAUCUGGGAUCUACGGAACAGGGCGAUCUUCACGACAGCUCAGUACGAUCCAACAGUCGGUAUUUACAAUAUCAAUCAGUUGUCGGAGCAGUGGAUGAAACUUUCGCCGGACUGAAUCAACUGUAGUAGUUUUUUU
rnacentral:lncRNA from 1 species